rnacentral:rRNA from 1 species
UGCAUAUCAAAAAAGCGGAGGAAAAGAAACCAACAGGGAUUGCCCUAGUAACGGCGAGUGAAGCGGCAACAGCUCAAAUUUGAAAUCUGGCCCUCGUGGUCCGAGUUGUAAUUUGCAGAGGAUGCUUUUGGUGCGGUGCCUUCCGAGUUCCCUGGAACGGGACGCCAGAGAGGGUGAGAGCCCCGUACGGUUGGACGCCAAACCUAUAUAUAGCUCCUUCGACGAGUCGAGUAGUUUGGGAAUGCUGCUCUAAAUGGGAGGUAAAUUUCUUCUAAAGCUAAAUACCGGCCAGAGACCGAUAGCGCACAAGUAGAGUGAUCGAAAGAUGAAAAGCACUUUGAAAAGAGGGUUAAAUAGCACGUGAAAUUGUUGAAAGGGAAGCGUUUGCGACCAGACCUUUUCCGGGCGGAUCAUCCGGUGUUCUCACCGGUGCACUUCGCCCGGCUUAGGCCAGCAUCGGUUUCCUUAGGGGGAUAAAGGCCUGGGGAACGUAGCUCCUUCGGGAGUGUUAUAGCCCCUUGCGCAAUACCCCUCGGGGGACCGAGGACCGCGCUCGGCAAGGAUGCUGGCCGUAAUUUCCCG